UACGGAGGGUGCAAGCAUUAAUCGGAUUUAUUGGGCGUAAAGGGCGCGUAGGCGGGAACAUAAGUCAGAUGUGAAAUCCUGGAGCUCAACUCCAGAACAGCAUUUGAAACUAUAUUUCUUGAGGGUAGGCGGAGAAAACGGAAUUCCACAUGUAGCGGUGAAAUGCGUAGAUAUGUGGAAGAACAUCGGUGGCGAAGGCGGUUUUCUAGCUUAUUCCUGACGCUGAGGCGCGAAAGCAAGGGGAGCAAACAGG
rnacentral:rRNA from 1 species